GACCGCGCCAGAUGGCCGGAUGGCCGCCUUCGGUUUCGGCCGGGGGAGGAAAGUCCGGGCUCCACGGAAACACGGUGCCGGCUAACGGCCGGCGGGGGCGACCCUAGGGACAGUGCCACAGAAAGCAAACCGCCGGCGUUUCGACGCAGGUAAGGGUGAAAGGGUGCGGUAAGAGCGCACCGCGGACCCGGCAACGGGGACGGCACGGUAAACCCCACCGGGAGCAAGACCGAAUAGGAGCGGCCCGACCACCAUCCCCGCAACGGGAUGGGCGUGGGUCAAGCGCGUUUCCGCGCCGCCGCUCGGGUUGGUCGCGCGAGGCGUCCGGGCAACCGGCGUCCCAGACGAAUGGCCAUCGCCCGCCCUUCGGGGCGGGAUACAGAACCCGGCUUACAGGCCAUCUGGCGCU
rnacentral:RNase_P_RNA from 1 species